rnacentral:snRNA from 1 species
ACACUUACCUGGUGGAGGAGAGACCAUGAUCAUGAAGGUUGUUUUCCCAGGGUGAAGCUCAUCCACUGCGCUGAAGAUGUGCUGACCCCUGCGAUUUCCCUAACUUUUGUAGUGAGAAAGUUGACUGCAUAAUUGUUGGUAGUGGGGGCCGGGGGGACGCAUA